rnacentral:rRNA from 1 species
AGUGAACGCUGGCGGUAGGCCUAACACAUGCAAGUCGAACGGCAGCACAGUAAGAGCUUGCUCUUACGGGUGGCGAGUGGCGGACGGGUGAUGAAUACAUCGGAAUCUACUUUUUCGAGGGGGAUAACGUAGGGAAACUUACGCUAAUACCGCAUACGACCUACGGGUGAAAGCAGGGGAUCUUCGGACCUUGCGCGAUUGAAUGAGCCGAUGUCGGAUUAGCUAGUUGGCGGGGUAAAGGCCCACCAAGGCGACGAUCCGUAGCUGGUCUGAGAGGAUGAUCAGCCACACUGGAACUGAGACACGGUCCAGACUCCUACGGGAGGCAGCAGUGGGGAAUAUUGGACAAUGGGCGCAAGCCUGAUCCAGCCAUGCCGCGUGGGUGAAGAGGGCCUUCGGAUUGUAAAGCCCUUUUGUUGGGAAAGAAAAGCAGCAGGUUAAUACCCCGCUGUUCUGACGGUACCCAAAGAAUAAGCACCGGCUAACUUCGUG